rnacentral:rRNA from 1 species
AACGAACGCUGGCGGCAUGCCUAACACAUGCAAGUCGAACGAGACCUCCGGGUCUAGUGGCGCACGGGUGCGUAACGCGCGGGAACCUGCCCUUAGGUUCGGAAUAACUCCCCGAAAGGGGUGCUAAUACCGGAUAAUUUCUUCGGACCAAAGUUUUAUCGCCUUUGGAUGGGCCUGCGUUGGUUUAGCUAGUUGGUAGGGUAAAAGCCUACCAAGGCGAGGAUCCAUAGCUGGUCUGAGAGGAUGAUGAGCGACACUGGGACUGAGACACGGCCCAGACUAGUACGGGAGGGAGCAGUAGGGAGUAUUGGACAAUGGGCGAAAGCAUGAUCCAGCAGUGCCGCGUGAGUGAUGAAGGCCUUAGGGUUGUAAAGCUCUUUUACCCGGGAUGAUAAUGACAGUACCGGGAGAGUAAGCUCCGGCUAACUCCGUG